CACUGGAGUGAUACAUAUUUCCAUUAAAUGAGAGCGAGUAAAUGACAUGAUGCAAAAGUGGGGUCAUCUGCAAAUUAAGUCUUGGCUUGUGACACACAUACAAAUAUACUGUAUGGAUUACAUCGGUUC